GGAUCUGAGGGGGAUCUCGCUGCGACAUCUGUCACCCAAUCCACUGAUCGCCAGGGUUGAUUCUGCUGAUCUGGCGGGUGUCCCCUUCCUCCUUCACCACUCCAUGUGCAUCCCUCCCCAAGCUGUGUGCUUGGAAGAGGACUGUCUUCCCGGAAUAGAGGCGGACUGGCCUUCAGUGGAGGAGUAGCUGUGCUCCCCUGCUAGAGUCUCCAAACAAGCUCCCAUGAGAGUACGGGAAGGAGUGUGAAAUUACCAUCGUAUGGAGGGCUGGGAAAUUAUCAACACGGAGCCAUGAUUCCUGCCAGUCUUUGAUCAUAGAUAGACAGGUUGACAGAUCAA
ensembl:misc_RNA 7SK 7SK RNA